GAGCGUUCUCAGGGCGGGGUGAAAUUCCCCACCGGCGGUAGCGAUCGGCGGGCCGAAAGGCUCUUCGGUCGAAGCCCGCGAGCGCUUCGAGCAGCCUGCUUGAAGGUCAGCAGAUCCGGUUGAACUCCGGAGCCGACGGUUAUAGUCCGGAUGGAAGAGAGCAAGC
rnacentral:ncRNA from 2 species